UUAAUUGCAUCAGAGAAGCAUCACUCUUAGCAACUUGUAAAUAUUCCCAAAAUAAACCCUUGCACCUUGGUUGAGGUGUUAGGGUUGAGGUUGUCAAAGGUCACUUUAACAGGGGUCAGUUCAAGUAUAUUCAUCAUUCAAAUCUCACUGACAAGCCAGAAUAAAUAUAAAACUAAGUUGAUACUGACAUCCUCCAAGUGACUUUACAUGAACCUAGUGUAGCUAAAAAAAAUGAUAAUAGAAAAAGGCCUCUACAAACAAU
rnacentral:misc_RNA from 1 species